GGAAAAGGAAGCGCUAUACAUGCAGUCGAACGACUCUGGUAUUGAUUGGUGCUUGCAUCAUGAUUUACAUUUGAGUGAGUGGCGAACUGGUGAGUAACACGUGGGAAACCUGCCCAGAAGCGGGGGAUAACACCUGGAAACAGAUGCUAAUACCGCAUAACAACUUGGACCGCAUGGUCCGAGCUUGAAAGAUGGCUUCGGCUAUCACUUUUGGAUGGUCCCGCGGCGUAUUAGCUAGAUGGUGGGGUAACGGCUCACCAUGGCAAUGAUACGUAGCCGACCUGAGAGGGUAAUCGGCCACAUUGGGACUGAGACACGGCCCAAACUCCUACGGGAGGCAGCAGUAGGGAAUCUUCCACAAUGGACGAAAGUCUGAUGGAGCAACGCCGCGUGAGUGAAGAAGGGUUUCGGCUCGUAAAACUCUGUUGUUAAAGAAGAACAUAUCUGAGAGUAACUGUUCAGGUAUUGACGGUAUUUAACCAGAAAGCCACGGCUAACUACGUGCCAGCAGCCGCGGUAAUACGUAGGUGGCAAGCGUUGUCCGGAUUUAUUGGGCGUAAAGCGAGCGCAGGCGGUUUUUUAAGUCUGAUGUGAAAGCCUUCGGCUCAACCGAAGAAGUGCAUCGGAAACUGGGAAACUUGAGUGCAGAAGAGGACAGUGGAACUCCAUGUGUAGCGGUGAAAUGCGUAGAUAUAUGGAAGAACACCAGUGGCGAAGGCGGCUGUCUGGUCUGUAACUGACGCUGAGGCUCGAAAGUAUGGGUAGCAAACAGGAUUAGAUACCCUGGUAGUCCAUACCGUAAACGAUGAAUGCUAAGUGUUGGAGGGUUUCCGCCCUUCAGUGCUGCAGCUAACGCAUUAAGCAUUCCGCCUGGGGAGUACGGCCGCAAGGCUGAAACUCCAAGGAAUUGACGGGGGCCCGCACAAGCGGGGGAACAGGGGGUUUAAUUCCAAGCUACCCGAAGAACUUAACAAGGCUUGGACUACUAUGCAAAUCUAAAAAAUAAACGUUCCCUUCGGGAAAUGGAUACCGGGGGGGCAAGGUUUCCGCCACCCGGGCCCGGAAAAUUUGGGUUAAGUCCCGCAAAAAGGGAACCCUUUAUUUAGGUGGCCACCUUAAUUGGGCCCCCUGGGGAAAUGGCGGGGAAAACCCGAAAAAGGGGGGGGAAACCCCAAAACUUCGGGCCCUUUAAACGGGGGGCAACCUGGUUCCAACGGGGGGACAAAAAAGUUGGGACCCCCGGGAAGGGGAAUCCUUUAAACCCUUCCUUUUUUAGGG
rnacentral:rRNA from 1 species